GGUUAAGCGACUAAGCGUACACGGUGGAUGCCCUGGCAGUCAGAGGCGAUGAAGGACGUGCUAAUCUGCGAUAAGCGUCGGUGAGGUGAUAUGAACCGUUAUAACCGGCGAUUUCCGAAUGGGGAAACCCAGUGUGUUUCGACACACUAUCAUUAACUGAAUCCAUAGGUUAAUGAGGCGAACCGGGGGAACUGAAACAUCUAAGUACCCCGAGGAAAAGAAAUCAACCGAGAUUCCCCCAGUAGCGGCGAGCGAACGGGGAGGAGCCCAGAGCCUGAAUCAGUGUGUGUGUUAGUGGAAGCGUCUGGAAAGGCGCGCGAUACAGGGUGACAGCCCCGUACACAAAAAUGCACACAUUGUGAGCU
rnacentral:rRNA from 1 species